UUUGUGGGUUACACGCAGCCAUGUUGAUGUUGCACAGAAGGAAAGUUCGGAAGAGAGUGUCGCGAAAAGGAGAAUCAUGACUAGCUUUGGAUGGAAUUUCUGUUUUGAAAGAAGAUGAAGACAUUUUACGACACGGUACUGCGUUGCAUGCAGUGGACUGUGUCCGAGACGAUUCCUACAGCGCCGGCGAAUAGUCAGCUUGUAAAAUUGAAAUUGUGCCAGCAAAGUUUGAAGUAUCUAUGGAAAUGAUCAACAUUGAACUUUCCGAACCUUCCUACUUAAAGUGAAUCCGUUCGUGACAUGACCAGUUAUUUGGCUACCCUCUAACAUAACGCCAUCUUUUAUUUAUUUAUUAUUGUGAAUUUCAUGGGAUAUCAGUGAGGAAGUGAUUCAAGCAGACACUUGAGAAAUUUCGGAUCUAACUUAAUUAGGAUCUUUGGCAUAUUCGAGGAAAAUAGCAUGUGUUGAUUUUAUGGGAUCUUUUUAUUAAUAUAGUUGUGUAAUGGAUAUUUUGUACUUAAUACAUGUGUUUGUCACUCUAGUCUAGUCAUUAACUUUGUACGAUAAAUGUACAUGGGCAACUGGAAGUUCAUUGUAACUGCAAUGACCUCUCCCAAUGUCAUUAAGUCAAAUGCCAUAUUUUAAAAAAAGAAAUAGUUUGUUUUAUUACAAAGAAAUGUCGAUCAGUGAGAAUACUUUGAAAAAAUGUGCUUACAUUGUACAUCUAUAAAUGUAUGUGUAAUUUUUGUUUCAAAACACAUUGUAAAAGAAACGAUUUUUUAAUUUUGAAAAUAUAGAUUUGAUCUUUGAUAAAUUGUGAUGUUAUCAUUAUU